GUCGCUUUAGCUCACUUGGGAGAGCGCCAGACUCAAGUUCACAUAUCUGGAGGUGUACGUUGGCAGUCACCUGCGCCCACAUCAUUCCCACUAACUUUUCAUAGACUGUGUUCGAUCCACAGAAGCGACA
rnacentral:tRNA from 1 species